GACAGAGGGUGCAAACGUUGUUCGGAAUUACUGGGCGUAAAGCGCGUGUAGGCGGCUAUGUAAGUCGGGCGUGAAAUCCCACGGCUCAACCGUGGAAGUGCACCCGAAACUGCGUAGCUAGAGUCCUGGAGAGGAAGGUGGAAUGCUUGGUGUAGAGGUGAAAUUCGUAGAUAUCAAGCGGAACACCGGUGGCGAAGGCGGCCUUCUGGACAGUGACUGACGCUGAGACGCGAAAGCGUGGGGAGCAAACAGGAUUAGAUACCCUGGUAGUCCACGCCGUAAACGAUGAGUGCUAGGUGUCACGGGCUUUGACCCUCGUGGUGCCGAAGCUAACGCGUUAAGCACUCCGCCUGGGGAGUACGGCCGCAAGGCUAAA
rnacentral:rRNA from 1 species